GCAUCCCUGCUGACCUGCUGCCCUGCAGUCAUGAUGCCCUGGGAGGCUUGAAGCCCUGCCACCGUGCUUCCUGGCCUCUGUGCUGCCCUGACGCCCUGCUGCCCUGAAGCCCUGGAGCCCUGAGAGGCCUGAAGCACUGCUGCCCUGCUGCCCUUCAUCCCUGCCGAUCUGCUGCCCUGCAGUCGUGAUGCCCUGGGAGGCUUGAAGCCCUGCCACCCUUUUGCCCGGCCUCCAUGCUGUCCUGACCCCCUGCUGCCCUGCAGCCCUGUUGACCUGCUGCUCUGCAGUCCUCAUGCCCUGCAGCCCUCCCGACCUGCUGCCCUGCAGUCCUGAUGCCCUAUGAGGCUUGCAGCCCUACCGCCCAGUUGCCCUGCAGUCCUGCCACCUUAGGAGGCCUGCAUCCCUGCCACCCUGCUGCCCUGCACUCCGGCUUCCCUGAGAGGCCUGCAGCCCUGCCACGCUGGGAGGCUUGCAGCAUUGCCGCCCUGUUGCCCUGAAUGAAGCCCGGCAUCCCUGCGAGGCCUACAGCCCUGGCGCCCUGCUGUCCUGAACCCUGGACGCCCUGUGAAGCUGGCAGACCUGCCGCCCUGCUGUCCUGCCGCCCUUGGAUACCUGCAGCCCUGCUGCCCUGGGAGGUAUGCAGCUCUGCCACCCUGCUGCCCUGCUACCCUGCCUGGUGCCAUGCAGGCCUGCCGCGCUGUGAGGCCUUCAGGCCUACCUACUUGGGAGGCCUCAGCCCUGUCACCCUGGGAGGCCUGCAGCCCUCCUGCCUUGGUGCCCUGCAGCCCUGUCGCCCUGGGAGGCCUGCAGUCCUGUUGCCCUACAGCCCUGCUGCCCUAUGAGGACUGCAGCCCUGCCACUCUUUUGCCCUGCCACCCGGCCUCCCUGCAAGGCCUACAGACCUGAUGCCCUGCAGCCCUACAGCCCUGCUGCACUGGGAGGCCUGCAGCCCUACUGUUCUGCUGCCCUGCAGUCCUGCUGCCCUGGGAGGCCUGCAUCACUGCCACCCUGUUGCCCUACAGCCCUGUUGUCCUACGAGGCCUGUAGCCCUGCUGCCCUGCUGCCCUGUAGCCCUGCUGGGGUGCCAUACCUGUUGCCCUGAUGCCCUGUGAGACCUGCAGCCCUGCCUCCCUGCUGCCCUGUUGCGUUGCUACCCUGCUGACCUGCUGCUCUUCUGUCCUGCAACCCUGCAUACCUACUGCCCUGCAGCCCUUCCGCACUGUGAGGCUUAUAGCAUUGCCACCCUACACCCUGAGCCCUGUAGCCCUGGGAGGCCUGUAGCCCUGCAGCCCUGCCGCUCUUCAGCCCUUCUGCCCUGCUGCCCUGCAUCCUUGAUGCCCUGUUGCCAUGCAGCCCUGCGAGGCCUGCCACCCUUCCACGCUGCUGCCCUGCCUCCCUGCAGCCCUGCUGCCCUGGUAGGCCUACAGCCCUGCCGCCCUGCUGCCUGGCUGCUCAGUGACCCUGAGAGGCCUGCAGCCCUGCCGCAAUGCUUCCCUGCCGCCUUGCCACCCUGCUGCCCUGCAGCCCUUCCACCAUGCUUCUCUGCAGCCUUACUGCCCUGCUGCCCUGCAGCGCUGCCGCCCUGCGAGGCCUGCAGCCCGGUCAGGUGUGUCACCCACCCGGCCUUUAAGGUUUCUGAGCAGACACUGGACCCUGACCUGACUGGACGCUGCCUCCUCCGGCCCCCUCUCACUUGCAGGGCUGAUGUUGCGUUUUAGGAAUAUGACAUGCAGAAGUUUCAGAACCAAGAAUCCUACCGACCAGUAAAAAACAUAUAUGUACAUUUUUAAAUGUCAUAUAUUUAUCUUUUAUACUUAGAAUAGCAUUGGACAUAAUUCAUAUGUACAAAGUUAGUUUUAGCGUUCUGUUGAAGAGAUUCCUUUUAGGCAUGUUAGAGCAAAUUCGGACUUCCAUCCCCAACACAUUUUGAGGUUGGUUUCAACCAGACUCACGUUCUGUUGGAAAAAAGGAGAAUCGUUAGAAGCCCUUUCUAACCUCUCUAGGAGAGAAAUGAUUUACAGCUAUGACAUUUAACCAUAAUUCUUUGAUAUCAUUUGGGAAGAGUUCAAUAAGGAACAGUUUCUUGGUUUUGUUUGUUUGAACAAAAAUAGCAAGCUUGUACAAAUUUUGGGCAAAGAUUUCUUAUAGGAACUCUGAAAAAGGUGGUCAUGUCAGACGUAUGUGAAAACAAUAAAUUACAGUUAUAUUAGUUCCAUCUCCCUUUUUUUUUUUUCUCAAGGAGGGGAAUUUAAACAUAUAAGAGUUAGUAUUUCAGGACAAUAAAGGAAAUUUGGACAAGGAUAUCCCAGAAAAAUCUACCUCUUCAUUUUUCUUGCCAAAUGAGAGGGGAGGGACAGGGUGCUUUUUUGAAAUAAAGACCAUGCUCUUAUUUGUCUUUGUAAGUCAAAAUAAUAGUAGGUGACAAGUGGUUACUCUGAGAUAAUUUGGCUUGGCGGGAGCAAACAUGUUGAGACAGAAUUCGUCAAGGCAAAAUAUUGUUUUAAAAAUGAUUAAUUUCAUCAUUAAUAAAAAUAUUUUAAUAAUAACAGUAAUUUAUCGUUGCCAGGAAGAUUACCUCUCGUCUGACAGUUUAUACAGCGCAAUCUCUGAUUACAGCAAAUGAAGCCAUAGGCGGGCAGCCUUGAUGGGAUCUGUGGUAGUGGCAGUGAGCCAUAGCUAACAACCUGUGUUUGACCACUCAUCCCCUGUUCCCUUGUCUUCCUCACCAACAACCCAUUGUGAUUCAUACAGAGUUAAUAUGGAGGGCAGACUGAAUGAUCCAUGGAGCUCGUUAUAUGAACUUUUAUUCCCUAAAAUACCUUUUGUCCCCUUGUUUACAGCCCACCUCUUCUCUCUUCUCUUUAUUAUAACCAAGGCUCAGCAGAAGCAAACUGGCUUUGUGCAGCUCCUUCUUAGGUGGUCUUUUCUUGGUCAUUUUAUCACUCCUACAUUUCACUUUUUCACUUUUUCACUUUCAUUUCACUAUAAAUGUAUCAAAACUUUCUGUGGUGGAUGACUUCCCCAGUCUUUUGGCGUUGAUUGCUUUAAUUUUGGAAUUUCUAUGCUUUGUUAAAUAUAGUGUCAAAAGGAACAGAAAGUAAAUAUGUUAUUCUGUUUUGCCAUCUUGAACUGAAAAUACCUGUUGAUUUUCGCACUCAGCAUUCGCAUAGGGAGGAAAUAAACAACCUCAGAAUUCACAGAUGUAACAUUCAAGACUUCAACUUUUCUUGAGAAAUGACUAAGGAUUUAACAUGUAGUAAUUUCUUUUUUCCCCCCCUUUUUAAAAGAUUUUAUUUAUUCAUUAUUAGAGACAUAGAAAGAGAGGCAGAGACACAGGCAAAGGGAGGAGAAGCAGGCUCCAUGCAAGGAACCCAAUGUGGGACUUGAUCCCGGGAAUCCGGGAUCACGCCCUGAGCCAAAGCCAAACGCUCAACUGCUGAGCCACCCAGUUGUCCCAGGAUGUAGUAAUUUCUAAUGGGAAAAUAAUACAUAUUUUCAUGAUAAAGUGAGAUGAUGAACAUGAAAAUCCUUUGUAAAGUUUAAAGCUCUAUAAAACUGUUUUUUAUUAUUUUUUGCUAUUUCACUGUGCCUGAACCUUGUUUCUGACAUUGCUUAUGCGAGAAAAUGCCUUCUGGUUUUACUGUUUCAAAAAAUAGACCAUAUUUUUCAGUAGCUCAAUGAAAAUGACAUUGUUCUUCAAGGUUAGGGGUAAAGACACAAAUGUUCCUUGACAGGUAUCACUUUAUAAUAUUUUCAGCAACUAAGUUACUCACGUAUUCCUCCUUCCAGGUUUGUUGAGGACCUACCACCAGCCAGAGGCUUUUUAUUAGGGGUUGGAAAUAUUUUCCAGGUUUUAAGUAUUUUAGGCUCUUUGGGCCAUGUGCAGUUUCUGUAGCUUCUUCUCCUUCUCCAACAACUUCUCAAAAUUUAAGAACCAUUAUUAUCUCGUAGAUCCUACAAGAACAGGCUGAGAACCCAGUUUGACCAGGGGACUGUUAUUUGCUAACCCCUGCCCUACACCUUCACUGAGUAGAAGGCACAUCUUUUAUUAUUAUUAUUAUUUAUUUAUUCAUGAGAGACACACAGAGAGAGGCAGAGACAUAGGCAGAGGGAGCAGCAGGCUCCCAGCAGGUAGCCUGAUGUGAGACUUGAUCCCAGGACCCCGGGAUCACAACCUGAGCCAAAGGCAGAUGCUCAACAUCUGAGCCACCCAGGUGUCCCAGAAGGUCAUCUUUAGAAAUUCACUUCUUUAAACCAGUCAUCGGUUUUCCUGAUCUUGUCUUUAUUCCCCUUCAGUCUCUGAUAACAUGGCAUCCCGAGAGCUUCCGUUAAAACAUAGUUCAAACCGUAUCACUUAAAUCUCUUUAGUUGCUCACUCAAGGCAAAAACCAAAGUCCUCAAAAUGCCCCUACAGCCCUAGCAAUCUAGGCCUCCCAACUUCCUUUCUGAGUUCAUUUCCUUCUUCUCUACACUUUACUCACUGUGGCCUCUGCACACUGAGAUUCUUUCUGUUCCUUGACUAUUCCAGGUAUGUUCUUGCCUCUCUGCGGGUAACAUUCAGUCCGCAGAUAUGUACGUUGAUGUCCCCACAUUCACCUUUUGUUCUUUCUUAAAUUUCAUCUUCCCCAGGAGUAACUAGGUGUCUCAGUUAGGAAUCUGACUCUUGGUUUCAGCUCAGAUCAUGAUCUCAGGGUUGUGAGUUCCAGCUCCUUGUCAGGCUCUGUACUCAGUGGUCUAGUUGUUCCUCUUCCUCCCCCUAGUCUUGUGCGCCCCUCUCUCUCAAAUAAAUAAAUGAAAUCGUUAAAAAAAAAAAAAAGCAUUAAAAGAAUUUCAUCUUCCCCAUAAAGCCUUUGUUGAUCACUUAAUUUCAUAUUGUAACCACUUCCUAUCAACUAACAAUGUUCAUCUCCCUUCCUUGCUUUCUAGUUCCCUUUAGCACUUACCUGACAGGCUAGUUAUUUUAUAUAGAUUUAUUUAAUUUUUAUUUAUAUGUUUAUACUAAAUUUAUAUAUUUGUUUAUUUAUUUUUGCCCCAUCCACUAGAGAGAGGGGAUAUUCAUCGGUGUUGUUCAGUACUGUAUUCCCUGAACAUAUCUAUAAAACAUACUGAAGAACAGUACCUGAAAUCUUGUAAAGGAUCAGUAAAUUUUCUGAACUGAAUGGAUAAUUGUGUGCAUAAAUUAAUGACCAAAGCUCUAGGGUUUCUGAAUUGAGGAUUGAUGGUCAGAGAAAGGCAAAUGGUUUGGACAAGUUCUCUGAUAACUAACCUAAUACUGCAUGAAGCAGUAUUUGUAGUUCUCUGAUAACUAACCUAAUACAUAGGUUUUUGUUAACUUAAGUCGUUAAGAAAUGGGAAAGCUGGUGACUAGUUUGGGGACACACAUCAAGAUUUUUAUAGUGCAUUCUGUAGAGUUAUUUUUAAGCCUGUACAAAUAUCAAUGGAAAUAUAUGCAUUCACAUUUACCUGUAUUACUUUAUUUAAUACUUUACAGGAUCCCUCCAAAUAGGGAUGGAUACCAAGUAUUAAUAUCCUUCCUUUAUGAUGAGGCUACUUUGCUCAAGGUUAUGUAAUAAUUUAGUUGUAAAUGUCAAACUACCCUCAGAGUUUUUCAGUAGAUCCUCCAUAGAAACCUGUGAUAUUAAUAAGACCCACAAAAAUUCGUUCAGCAUCCAGUGAUGCCCACACUACAGACUUAUUUAUGGGCCAUCCAUUUAAACAAAGUGAGCUAGUUUAUACAAGCAAAAGUAUAUCAAGCUUUGUCCUCCAUUAAUAUUAGUAAGGCAAAAAGGGGCUCUAACACUUUCAGGAUGGUUUGAGACCAUCAUAUCUGCAUGAUAAACAUGGAGGUGUUUAGCCAGGAUGUCUUUCUCUGCCACUCAUAAGAAUUCCUAUAAUAUAUAGUGAUAUGUAUUGAACAGAUAAGGGGCUUUUGGGUAAUUAGAAGUCCUUCAGUAUGAUUUUUCCAGAAGCCUUGCCUAUAAAGUGAAAAUAGUUGGUUUGGACACAUUCAGCUAUGAAGAAUUUGUUUAGACCUUAAUUUUCAUGGUAAAUGAAAUGAGCCUAUUUUAUCUCUGCCACCUCAUAUAUGCCUUCCUCAAACUUCUGUUUUGUGUUUGAAAGGACUUAGAAAUUAAAAGCGAAGAUAAAAAAUAAAUGACAACCUAAAUGAUACCCGGGAUAUUUUGUUGGCUUACAUGAGCAUACAGAAUUAAAUAUGACCUAGUUCAAAUGUUUAUUUUAGUUUAAUGUUGUUUAGUGGGGUGGAACCGCCAAGGUGCCGGGAAACAGGAAUUCACCUAUCUUGUUUGGAACUGCAGCCCAUACAUACUUUGGUUACCAGUUCUGCACUUUCUAUAGAAUCGUUUUCAGGUACCACUAUUUUCUAUGUAUAUAUAUACAUAUAUAUCCCCUUUAGUUUAAGUAUUUUUUCCAGAUACUUUUUUAAUAUACAGUGCUCUGAUUCCAAUCUUGCAGAGUCCUGCACCAGUUACGUAGAAUGGAGGACUUUUCUUUCUCUGUAUUAUAUAGAACUCAAUAAAAGAAUAAUGGAAUGGGAUUUCCAAUGUCUUGUUCCUUUGGGAAACCCAUAAUUAUUUUGGGCCCCUUUCCUUUUCUUUGUUUUGAGAGAGUUGUAUUAGAUGAUUCAAAAUAGCAUGUGCUCCCUUUGAAUAAUAUUUUAGAUACAACUGGUAUUCUAAACAAAUAAAGAUAACUACACAUAAAACAUGUUUUUAGAGCUCCCUAUGUUUUACAGAUGAUAAGAUGACAGAGCAUAGUGGAAGUAGAUGAUUUAACCUGAAACUCCAAAGGAGGUGGAGCUAAACCACCUGUCUCCUUUGUUUCUGAAGCUCCUAUAUCCAGAGCAUAGUCUUCUGAAUAUCAAGCCAUGAAGCUUGAUAUUACAAGUAUGUUUAAGGGAGGCUAUUCUUAUAGGAUUUUCAAUUAAUGGCGGAAGUUUCAAAAUUCUUACAAGAUCAUCUGAUCUUGUGAGAUUUACAGUUCCGUUUUCAUGUCAAGCAAGUUGUAUCAGUCCCAGGUAAGCAAUCAUCUGGAUUUCUGGUUGCUUCUUUGAACUAAAAUUCAGAACCUCUUGAGGUUUUCUUCUUGCUCCCUGAAGUUUAUGCCAGAUAAGGCUUUUGUAGGAGUACAUUCAGGCUACUGUAGCUCACCUAAGAAAGACAUUCAGUGAGUCAGUGUUAAGCCCUCCUUCUCAGGCUGAUAGUGAGCUCCUGAUAAAAUAUAAUCAUUAUUAGACACACUUCCUCAAAAUAGAAAAGUAGUUAUCUCAGAUUUUUAAUACCAAAUAAGUAUUUUUACAUUUUCCUAUAAUACAUGUAUUGAUUGUACCUAUCAGGUAUGAUAUACAUACAUACAUUGAAAUAUUAUUCAGCCUUAAAAAGAAAUGACAUUCUGAUACACGCUACAGUAUGGACAAACCUUAAAAACACUAUGCUAAGUGAAGUAAAUCAGUCAGAAAAGGGCAAAUAUUAUAUGAUUCCACCUAGCUGAGGUAUUUAGGGUAGACAAAUUUAUAGAAAUUCAUAGAAUAAUAGUUUCUAGGCAUUGGGAUUAGUGAGUAUUGGGAUGUUAUUUUCAUGGGAAUAGAGUUUCAUUUGGGGGUGAUAAAACAAAGUUCUGGAGAUGGAUGGUGGUGAUGGUUGUACAACAUUGUGAAGGUACUUAAUGCAACUGAAUUGUAUACUUAAAAUUUUAUGUGUAUUUUACCGCCAUAAAAAAAAAAAGACUAAAUGUGUGAUUGAGGCAGUUUUUAUAUACAACACAAAAAGUGUGAUCCAUGAAAGAGAAAAAUUGAUAAUAUGAACCUUAUUAAAUUUUAAAAUGUCCAUUUUGUGAAAGUCAUUGUUCAAAGAAUGGAAAGCAAGCCACUGGCUAGGGGAAUAUAUUUUCAAAAAACAUGUCUUGAGAAAUAUAUGCAUGCAGAAUAUUCAAAGUCGUAGUAAAAACAACUUCAAAAUAAGAAAAUAAACUCCCCAAAUUAAUUAAAAUGAGUAAGACAAUAUGAGUAGACACCUUAAUGGAUAGUAUAUAUAAAUGAGAAAUAAGCAUGUAUAAAUGGGUCAACAUUUGGGGAAUUAUUGGAAAAUGAUAUGCAUUGUGAAUUAGGAAAAAAAAAAACACGAAAGGAAUACUCCACCAAUCUAGUAAAAUGCCUAAAUACCCGAAACUGAUAAUAU